GACGAACGCUGGCGGCGUGCUUAACACAUGCAAGUCGAACGGAAAGGCCCUGCUUUUGCGGGGUGCUCGAGUGGCGAACGGGUGAGUAACACGCGAGUAACCUGCCCUUGACUUUGGGAUAACUUCAGGAAACUGGGGCUAAUACCGGGUAGGAGCUCCUGAUGCAUGGUGGGGGUUGGAAAGUUUCGGCGGUUGUGGCUGGACUCGCGGCUUAUCAUCCUGUUGGUGGGGUGGUGGUUUACCAAGGCUUUGAAGGGUACCCGGCCUUGGAGGGGGGCCGGCCACAUGGGGACUGGGGGAGGGCCCAGUCUCCUACGUGAGGCAGCGGUGGGGAAUAUUGCGGAGUGGGGCGGCGCCUGUUACAGCGACCUUGCGUGCGGGAUACUCUCCUUCUGGUUGUGAACCACUUUGGCCUUUGACGUAGCGUGAGUGACGGUAAUGGGUAAAGAAGCACCGGCUAACUACGUG
rnacentral:rRNA from 1 species